UACAGAGGGUGCAAGCGUUAAUCGGAAUUACUGGGCGUAAAGCGUGCGUAGACGGUAGCGUAAGUCGGGUGUGAAAGCCCCGGGCUCAACCUGGGAAUUGCAUUCGAGACUGCUCUGCUAGGGUGCGGAAGAGGGAAGCGGAAUUUCCGGUGUAGCGGUGAAAUGCGUAGAUAUCAGGAGGAAUACCGAUGGCGAAGGCAGGUCUCUGGGCUGACACUGACGCUCAUGCACGAAAGCGUGGGGAGCAAACGGG
rnacentral:rRNA from 1 species